GACGAACGCUGGCGGCGUGCUUAACACAUGCAAGUCGAACGGAAAGGCCCUGCUUGCAGGGUACUCGAGUGGCGAACGGGUGAGUAACACGUGGGUGAUCUGCCCUGCACUUCGGGAUAAGCCUGGGAAACUGGGUAUAAUACCGGAUAGGAGACAUUUUUAGUGUGAUGGUUGGAAAGUUUUUUCGGUGUAGGAUGAGCUCGCGGCCUAUCAGCUUGUUGGUGGGGUAAUGGCCUACCAAGGCGGCGACGGGUAGCUGGCCUGUGAGGGUGGACGGCCACAUUGGGACUGAGAGACGGCCCAGACUCCUACGGGAGGCAGCAGUGGGGAAUAUUGCACAAUGGGCGCAAGCCUGAUGCAGCGACGCCGCGUGGGGGAUGACGGCCUUCUGGUUGUAAACUCCUUUCGCUAGGGACGAAGCUUUUUGUGACGGUACCUAGAUAAGAAGCACCGGCUAACUACGUG
rnacentral:rRNA from 1 species